rnacentral:rRNA from 1 species
GACGGAGGAUGCAAGCGUUAUCCGGAAUGAUUGGGCGUAAAGCGUCCGCAGGUGGCAGUUCAAGUCUGCUGUCAAAGACCGGGGCUUAACUUCGGAAAGGCAGUGGAAACUGAACAGCUAAAGUAUGGUAGGGGCAGAGGGAAUUCCUGGUGUAGCGGUGAAAUGCGUAGAGAUCAGGAAGAACAUCGGUGGCGAAGGCGCUCUGCUGGACCAUAACUGACACUCAGGGACGAAAGCUAGGGGAGCGAAUGGG